ensembl:lncRNA
UCAAAGUUGACCCUCUCUUCUUUGAGCUGGUCCUGGACUCUAAGCUCAUUUUUUAUCUGUUUUCUUUUUCCUUCAGUUCUUUUACUUUUAGGUUUUUUUCAGUGGUCACUUGCUUUAAUUCUUGCUUCAAGGCCUCAUUUUCUUUGCUCAGUCUAUUGACUUUGCCUUGAAGACGAGACAGAAAUUCCACAUCUUUUUCUUUCUGCUCCCGUCUCUUUUUUUCAGUGGCAUGUUUCCUUUCCAAGUCUUUGCAUUUCUUUUGAAGGUCCAGGAUUUUUUUCUCAUAUUUCUCUGAUCCUGCAGCCUUCAUCUCACAUUGAGCCAUACGUUUUCUUAGUUGGUCUACUUGUGAGAGAUGGGCGCGGGCUUCCUGUUUAAGGCUCGAAAUAUCAUCCACACGUUCUCUACACACCUUAACAAAUUUUGAUAUUGUCUUCUGCUGUUCCUUGUUUAAAGCCAUGAGGUGUUUUUCUCUUCUCCUUAAUUUUUCAAUUUUUUUAUGCUGUAAUUCUAGUGUGGCAGCUAUUUUUAAAUGAAUGUAUUUAAUUUGUAUUUAUAUUGUUUGCGCAAAGUUAUCAAGUGCAACCAGUUAUCUACUCAACUAGGUAAUGUGCGUUCCAAAUGGAAACUCAAACUUACAGUUUCUGUCUACAUGGGGUGUAUUUAUAGGUUUUCUUGAAACCUGACUCCGCCCCCUACAGCUAUCUUCAAAGGCAAUUCUGUGAUGUCA